UACGUAGGGUGCAAGCGUUAAUCGGAAUUACUGGGCGUAAAGAGUGCGUAGGCGGCUAUGUAAGACAGAUGUGAAAUCCCUGGGCUUAACCUAGGAACUGCAUUUGUGACUGCAUGGCUAGAGUGUGGUAGAGGGAGAUGGAAUUCCGCAUGUAGCAGUGAAAUGCGUAGAUAUGCGGAGGAACACCAAUGGCGAAGGCAAUCUCCUGGACCUGCAUUGACGCUCAUGCACGAAAGCGUGGGGAGCAAACAGG
rnacentral:rRNA from 1 species